UUCACCUCUGUCAUUUUAUUUGCCUGUGACAGGAACUCUUCCCCUAUCAAAUGCUCCUUUUUAUAUGCUUUAGAUUUGUGGAGAGAUGAAGGAAUGAAAGAAACUUCCAUACUUCUAGGACCUGUUCCAGAGUGUUCCAACUCUCAGGGAGAGCUCUAGGAGCUUUUCUAGGCAGGACCAGCAUUAAUUGUGCUAAACAAAUAGACUACCUGUUGUGCUUUCAGUGGAAGCAAUUUGUUCAGAUACAACCUGCAACAAAAGAUCUGCUUUUACCUUAGCCCCUCAUGAAUCUAUUAAUUGCAGAAGAAUGCUCCAAGUGAACUUGAAAAAUAAGUUCAGUGGACAAAGAACUAAAUAAAGGCCAAAACCUACUGUGACAUGAAAUUUGAAGAUAAUUAGAAAAUCAGCAACAAUAAGAUUGUAUCAGAAAUCUAACAUGUUGGACAAUUUCAGUAGUUAAAUGCUACCCGUAUAUAUGAAGUGCAUUUCUUUUGUCAUAUUACUUUUUAUUUUUAAAUCAAAGAAAAAAUUUCAAAAGGAUUCUUCCAUAAACUUCUACAUAGUACCUUCUGGAAACUCCCUACUAAGAAAUACUUUUGCACUUUAAUUUUCUGGGAUUUGAAACUUGAAAAAAAUAUUCAUUCACCGCAGUUUUAAUAAAAAUAUUAUCACU